AUACAUGCAAGUCGAACGGCAGCGGGUGUAGCAAUACAUGCCGGCGAGUGGCGCACGGGUGCGUAACGCGUAUGCAACCUACCCAUAACUGGGGGAUAGCCCGGAGAAAUUCGGAUUAAUACCCCAUAAUAUAUCGGAUUGGCAUCUUUCUGAUAUUAAAGCUCAGGCGGUUAUGGAUGGGCAUGCGUGACAUUAGUUUGUUGGUGAGGUAACGGCUCACCAAGACUACGAUGUCUAGGGGUUCUGAGAGGAUGAUCCCCCACACUGGUACUGAGACACGGACCAGACUCCUACGGGAGGCAGCAGUAAGGAAUAUUGGGCAAUGGAGGCAACUCUGACCCAGCCAUGCCGCGUGAAGGAUGAAGGCCCUAUGGGUUGUAAACUUCUUUUGUAUGGGAAUAAACGCAGUUACGUGUAACUGUUUGAAUGUACCAUAAGAAUAAGCACCGGCUAACUCCGUGCCAGCAGCCGCGGUAAUACGGAGGGUGCAAGCGUUAUCCGGAUUAUGGGUU
rnacentral:rRNA from 1 species